UUCCUCGACCUGGCGGCGUGCCUAACACAUGCAAGUCGAACGCGAACGAUUUUCUUCGGAGAAUUUAGUAGAGUGGCGCACGGGUGAGUAACGCGUAAGUAAUCUACCCUGGCAUCUAGGAUAACCCACCGAAAGGUGUGCUAAUACUGGAUACGUUGAUUUAUCAAGAAAGGUGGCCUCUAUAUAUAAGCUACUGUGCUGGGAGGAGCUUGCGUACCAUUAGCUAGUUGGUAGGGUAAAGGCCUACCAAGGCGACGAUGGUUAGCGGGUCUGAGAGGAUGAUCCGCCACACUGGAACUGGAACACGGACCAGACUCCUACGGGAGGCAGCAGUGAGGAAUAUUGCGCAAUGGGGGAAACCCUGACGCAGCGACGCCGCGUGGAUGAUGAAGGCUUUCGGGUCGUAAAAUCCUGUCANAUGGAAAGAAGUGCAUAUGUAUUAAUACUAUGUAUGUUUGACGGACCUCAAAGGAACACCGGCUAACUCCUNCCACCACCNCGGAAUACNGANGGUGCANCNUUUUCNNAAUACUGGCUAAACCCCCUUAGCCGUUUUUUUUCNAAUUAAAUCC
rnacentral:rRNA from 1 species